rnacentral:rRNA from 1 species
UACGGAGGGUGCAAGCGUUGUUCGGAAUUACUGGGCGUAAAGGGCUCGUAGGUGGCCAACUAAGUCAGACGUGAAAUCCCUCGGCUUAACCGGGGAACUGCGUCUGAUACUGGAUGGCUUGAGUUUGGGAGAGGGAUGCGGAAUUCCAGGUGUAGCGGUGAAAUGCGUAGAUAUCUGGAGGAACACCGGUGGCGAAGGCGGCAUCCUGGACCAACACUGACGCUGAGUGAGCGAAAGCCAGGGGAGCAAACGGG